AAGGACAUCGACUGGGUGGUGGACGACGAGGAGGCGCCCAGCGUGGCCAGCCUCUGCACCUUCCCCAUCAGGGUGCCCAUCGGGGACGACUGGUACUACCUCAACAUCGACAUGUUCGGGAAGGACCUGUCGCAGGUGCGCCGGCAGUACCUGGCCCACCUGCGCCGCCACACGGCCGGCCUGCAGGGCAGCGUCAUGUGCCAGCUGUUCCUGGAGCCCGCCCUCUGGGCGCCCAUGGUGGAGCUGUGCAGGAGCGUGCUGCGGGUGGAGCUGGUGAAGGAGUACACGGAUCAGUGCGUGGUGGAGAGCGACGUGGUGUAGCCCCGCCCCCGGGCAGCCCAGCGCCCCGCCCCCUGGGGGGAGGGGGGGGCAGGAGGAGGAGCCAAAAGUGAGCGGAGAAAUGUACAAAGAAGAAGACGACGGCGGAGAGAGAGGAGAGGAGGAAAAGUGUUUUCCGAUUUAACGGAUUCAUGGAUUCCACGACGCAGGAGAAGAUUUAACGAGAUAUGCAUUCUUUUUUUUUUUGAAAUCCUUUUUGAGCGAUGAGAAGGUGGAUAGCGAUACGAGCGAAACAAACAAAGAACGACAAACGUUGCUGUUGAAAGGGGGGAGGGAGGACAAUGUGUCAAGGCUUCGUUAGACUCAUGAGAGGGCUUUAAUUAACUAACUACUAACGAGCGUCGCAUCACACAACGCUGCUGUCCAGCGCUCUAACAUACGUGACUUCAAAAAGCUUUCUCUGAUUAGUUUUUACGUUGGUGUCCUAAUCCUACUCGUCAUUAACAAUAGUAUCGAUGCAGCAAUCGUUCUGAAGAGUCAGCUGGGCGUGGGUACAAUGUCCUGCGUCAUCGUGUUUUCUGUGGUUGUUAAUAUUAAGUGUUAAAAUAUAGCUUAUUAAGUCUGCACAACUCUUAAGGCACUUUAUGACAGACCAUACAGACAGCUCGUUACACACCUGAAAAUCAAAAACUGGACAAGCUUUGACUCGAUGAGAGAAGUAAAUAUUGUUGUCACUCUUGAUUUGACCAAAAUCACCCUGAUGAAAAUCAUUACUACAGUUUCCGGAAAAUCUCCCCGAAUGUAACCAUGAACAAAGUGUGACUAGAAGCCAACCGUUCUGUUUCCACCCUGGCUCAUCGUAGGUUAAGUUUGACACGUCUCCUCUUUAAAUACUUACUACUGUAUCUAGAACGUCUCUUUAAGUUAUUUCAUUUAAAUGCUGCAGUGAGAGAAGAUGGUUUAAUAUAUUCCACACAGCUGGCGCUGUGAGAGAGUUAGUAUUCUCAGCCAACUAGUGUAGAUCGCUUAAAGCUUUGGAACAAACGUCGUUAAAGUGCUUUUUCGAAAAAUUAACCUCAUCCAACAAUGUGCAUAACGAUUUAAAUGUCCUUUUUCAUACGUUUAACAAUUAUUUAGUUUUCGUUAGUGUUACAAAUGUCCUCUGUGGUUUUUAUCGUGCGACAAGAAGAGGAAGUCGUUUUUUAAAGCAGUUCACCUUUUUGGCGAACAUUCCCCCAACGUACUGAGAUUGCUGAGCAUGGACACAAGAUCCUAUUGGCUCAGAAUAACACGAAGCAGUGCCCUGAUUGGAGCGUCUCCACCAGAACCAGAACCCAGGAAGCCCGUAUUUCUCGGAAGCCUUAUGUCACGACCCUCGGACCGGGGCCUACUACGUUGCCAUAAUAAAAAUAACAGAGGCCCCACUGCUAGAGAGCGACAGAGCGGCUGGCGUCUGUACCUCCGCACCUCAUCGUCGUAAUGCACCCGCUGGGGCACGAAACCAGCCCAACGCGGACUGAAUGGGCUCCAAAAUGUAUUUUGACGCUGCAAGCUUUCCUUUCGUUAGUCGCUCAAUCUAAAAGUAGAAGCGUGAGCACUUCUCUGUGGAGUUCUGAUCGCGCCGCCCACAACGUUUGAAGAGAAAGACCUGAAUUAAUUACCCGACUCUCCGCACCGCUCGGGAGGAGAAUUUUUAAUCAAAAGUUCUGAAUUAGGUCGGUGAUAUUUGGUCCUGUCGGAGGCAAACAAACACCAACUCUGGAAGGAAGGACGACUUUGAAGACUAGAGAAAAGCUAUUUUUUAAGCACGAUCAGCGGUCAGUCAGCGUUUUUCACCGAGGAUAUAUACUUGCUCUUUCUACAUUUUUAUUUUUCGACUGAAAAAAGGAGAAUCUGGACAGGUUGCAGCUUUUGUUUGAGAAGAAGACGAAGACGAAGAUUGAGGAGAGGAAGAUGAAAGCCACACUACUUAAUUGGAAAGUACAUCCCUACCACUCGGUUUCUCAUUCUCUCUCUCUCUCUCCCCCUCUGUCUCUCACAUUUACACACACACACACACACACACACACACACACACACACACACACACACACACACACACACACACACACACACACACACACACACACACACACACACA